AUGGACUUCAAACACAACACCACCGUUCUUUUUCAGUCUCGCUCGUUUCUUAAUCUCCAUCUGAUUUCGUUCUUCCGCAAUCCAAACUUCAUCGUGACUUCACUCAAUCUCUUGCCUCACUUCCAUUCAUCAGCUUCUUCGAUGAGUGUUUUAUGCCAUACAUAUACGCAAAAAGGACCUAAGAGAUUGAAGCCUUUGAGCAGUGUAGAUGCUUUGUUUGUUGGAGACGAAAGAUUGUUGAUGGCGGUUGAAGAUUGA